GCAGUCAGGUGUGCCAGGACUGGGAUGGACACAACCCUCUCCGCCUGCGUCCCACCAGUUCACCUCUUCAUGGAUUUAUUCACCAAGUACUUACUGAGCCUUCACCGUAUCAGGCACCACAGCAGGGGCAACAGACCCAGGCAGACCACCGAGGGAACGCUGACAUAAGCGGAAUGCUUGGUAACCAAUAAAUAAUAUGAAUAACAGA